AUCGGAGCGAUUAUAGAAUACCCGGCCACUUUUGAAUUUUGAUAGUGUUUGCUUUUGGGGGAUACGGGGAUACGCAGUCAUUAAAAUGACGUAAUUAUUCGAGUAGUUUAAAAGGAGAAUGGGUAACUAUUAUUUUUCAAUGAUACGGGGGAUACGGGGAUACGCAGUCAUUAAAAUGACGUAAUUAUUCGAGUAGUAGUUUAAGAGGAGAAUUGGUAACUAUUAUUUUUCAAUGAUACGGGGAUACGGGGAUACGCAGUCAUUAAAAUGACGUAAUUAUUCGAGUAGUUUAAAAGGAGAAUGGGUAACUAUUAUUUUUCAAUGAUACGGGGAUACGGGGAUACGCAGUCAUUAAAAUGACGUAAUUAUUCGAGUAGUUUAAGAGGAGAAUGGGUAACUAUCAUUUUUCAAUGAUACGGGGAUACGGGGAUACGCAGUCAUUAAAAUGACGUAAUUAUUCGAGUAGUUUAAGAGGAGAAUGGGUAACUAUUAUUUUUCAAUGAUACGGGGAUACGGGGAUACGCAGUCAUUAAAAUGACGUAAUUAUUCGAGUAGUUUAAGAGGAGAAUGGGUAACUAUUAUUUUUCAAUGAUACGGGGAUACGGGGAUACGCAGUCAUUAAAAUGACGUAAUUAUUUGAGUAGUUUAAAAGGAGAAUGGGUAACUAUUAUUUUUCAAUGAUACGGGGAUACGGGGAUACGCAGUCAUUAAAAUGACGUAAUUAUUUGAGUAGUUUAAGAGGAGAAUGGGUAACUAUUAUUUUUCAAUGAUAAGGGGAUACGGGGAUACGCAGUCAUUAAAAUGACGUAAUUAUUCGAGUAGUUUAAGAGGUUUUAAGAGGAGAAUGCCGCGGGUAACUACUAUUUUUUAAUGAUACGGGGAUACGGGGAUACGCAGUCAUUAAAAUGACGUAAUUAUUCGAGUAGUUUAAAAGGAGAAUGGGUAACUAUUAUUUUUCAAUGAUACGGGGAUACGCAGUCAAAUCGUGCUCAUUUGAUAUGCAAAAUUUAUACUAAUGAGUAAUAUUUUGUGCGGGGUUUAUUGAGAACGAGAAAUACAAUAUAUGAGUAAAUUUUGUGCGGGGUUUAUUAUACUAAUGAGUAAUAUUUUGUGCGGGGUUUAUUGAGAACGAGAAAUACAAUAUAUGAGUAAUAUUUUGUGCGGGGUUUAUUGAGAACGAGAAAUACAAUAUAUGAGUAAUAUUUUUUUGCGGGUUAGGGGUCAAAUCGUGCUCAUUUGAUAUGCAAAAUUUAUAGUAAUGAGUAAUAUUUUGUGCGGGGUUUAUUGAGAACGAGAAAUACAAUAUAUGAGUAAUAUUUUGUGCGGGGUUUAUUGAGAACGAGAAAUACAAUAUAUGAGUAAUAUUUUGUGCGGGGUUUAGUUGAGAACGUGAGAAAUACAAUAUAUGAGUAAUAUUUUGUGCGGGGUUUAUUGAGAACGAGAAAUACAAUAUAAUGAGUAAUAUUUUGUGCGGGGUUUAUUGAGAACGAGAAAUACAAUAUAUGAGUAAUAUUUUGUGCGCGGUUUAGUUGAGAACGUGAGGUAUACAAUAUAUGAGUAAUAUUUUGUGCGGUGUUUAUUGAGAACGAGAAAUACAAUAUAUGAGUAAUAUUUUGUGCGGGGUUUAUUGAGAACGAGAAAUACAAUAUAUGAGUAAUAAUAUUUUGUGCGGGGUUUAUUGAGACCGAGAACUACAAUAUAUGAGUAAUAUUUUGUGCGGGGUUUAUUGAGAACGAGAAAUACAAUAUAUGAGUAAUAUUUUGUGCGGGGUUUAUUGAGAACGAGAAAUAAAAUAUAUGAGUAAUAUUUUGUGCGGGGUUUAUUGAGACCGAGAAAUAAAAUAUAUGAGUAAUAUUCUGUGCGGGGUUUAUUAAGAACGAGAAAUACAAUAUAUUUAUAACCCUUUAUUAUUGAUAAUAUAGAUUAAUUAUUUGAUUAACGAUUCCCCGUUUAUUUUGAUACCGAAACAUUAGAAUAAUUACGUAAUUUCCUUCACUGCGUAUCACCGUAUCCCCGUAUCAUUGAAACUUAAUAUUUACCCAAACACUCGAAUAAUUACGUCAUUUCAUUCACUGCGUAUCACCGUAUCCCCCCAAAAUAAACAGUAUCAGAAAUGGACGGGUAUUCUAUAAUCUAGCCCCAGUUUUGAAAUAACUGUAAAAAUUAAUGAGCUGCAUUCUGAAAAUGCCAUAGUGUACUGAUUUAGAAUGCCAUAUACCCACUUCAGAAUGGGUAUAUAUGUACCUACUUCAGAAUGCCAUAUGGCCAAACUUGUUUGUAAAAUUGGAAUGCUUUCAGCCAAGACUCUCUGGC
rnacentral:lncRNA from 1 species